GACGAACGCUGGCGGCGUGCCUAAUACAUGCAAGUUGAGCGAUGAAGAUUGGUGCUUGCACCAAUUUGAAGAGCAGCGAACGGGUGAGUAACGCGUGGGGAAUCUGCCUUUGAGCGGGGGACAACAUUUGGAAACGAAUGCUAAUACCGCAUAACAACUUUAAACAUAAGUUUUAAGUUUGAAAGAUGCAAUUGCAUCACUCAAAGAUGAUCCCGCGUUGUAUUAGCUAGUUGGUGAGGUAAAGGCUCACCAAGGCGAUGAUACAUAGCCGACCUGAGAGGGGGGUCGGCCACAUUGGGACUGAGACACGGCCCAAACUCCUACGGGAGGCAGCAGUAGGGAAUCUUCGGCAAUGGACGAAAGUCUGACCGAGCAACGCCGCGGGAGUGAAGAAGGGUUUCGGAUCGUAAAACUCUGUUGGUAGAGAAGAACGUUGGUGAGAGUGGAAAGCUCAUCAAGUGACGGUAACUACCCAGAAAGGGACGGCUAACUACGUG
rnacentral:rRNA from 1 species